CACAUAGCUCAGUAGGAUAGAGCACAGGUUUCCUAAACCUGGGGUCAGAGGUUCGAAUCCUCUUGUGGG
rnacentral:tRNA from 1 species